ACGUCUUUUUCUCGCUUUUUUCUGAAUUACUGGGCGUAAAGGGCGCGUAGGCGGUUUGGUAAGUUAGGCGUGAAAGGCCCGGGCUCAACCCGGGAACUGCGCUUAAGACUGCCGGGCUGUGAGUCCGGGAGAGGAUGGCGGAAUUCCCAGUGUAGAGGUGAAAUUCGUAGAUAUUGGGAAGAACACCAGUGGCGAAGGCGGCCAUCUGGCCCGGUACUGACGCUGAGGCGCGAAAGCGUGGGGAGCAAACAG
rnacentral:rRNA from 1 species